UACGUAGGGGGCAAGCGUUGUCCGGAAUUAUUGGGCGUAAAGAGCUCGUAGGCGGUUUGUCGCGUCUGCCGUGAAAGUCCGGGGCUCAACUCCGGAUCUGCGGUGGGUACGGGCAGACUAGAGUGAUGUAGGGGAGACUGGAAUUCCUGGUGUAGCGGUGAAAUGCGCAGAUAAUCAGGAGGAACACCGAUGGCGAAGGCAGGUCUCUGGGCAUUAACUGACGCUGAGGAGCGAAAGCAUGGGGAGCGAACAGG
rnacentral:rRNA from 1 species